UAGUUUAAUUGACUAUAGCAGUGUUUGGUCAAUACUUCACUUUAGAUUUAUCUAUCAGAUCAGUUAAAUGUCCCUAAAUUGUGUUUUUCUUUGUUGUGUUUGUUGUUCAUUUGGUGAUUUAAUAGCUACACAGUUUCUAAAGCCUGAGGAGCGGUAAAUAUAUGGAAACAUGUAUCCUCUGAUUUCCUCACACUCAGAAUGUCCACGUGUGGUUCAUGUUUUUGGGCUAUCGUCUGGCUGGUGGUUCUGUUAGUUCUGGCUUGGCCUUUGAGUAUUAUUCUUGGGGGACUUUAUGGUCUCAUCGCUCCUCUUACUGUCUGCAUCGGUCUGGACCGGCUGGCCGAUCUGAUGAUGGAGGGGGCGAACCUGGGCCGAAAGUGUGCUCAGAACAUGAGGCACGGCAAACCACUGUGCUGAGACCUCGGGGCCUGAAGUUCACCUUGAAAGCACGAGCUGCCUUUAUAAAGGUUUUAUUAAAGUCUGAUUUAAACCUUCUUACUGUAUUUAACAAG